UACGAAGGGGGCUAGCGUUGCUCGGAAUCACUGGGCGUAAAGGGUGCGUAGGCGGGUCUUUAAGUCAGGGGUGAAAUCCUGGAGCUCAACUCCAGAACUGCCUUUGAUACUGGAAAGCUCGAGUCCGGAAGAGGUGAGUGGAACUGCGAGUGUAGAGGUGAAAUUCGUAGAUAUUCGCAAGAACACCAGUGGCGAAGGCGGCUCACUGGUCCGGUACUGACGCUGAGGUGCGAAAGCGUGGGGAGCAAACAGG
rnacentral:rRNA from 1 species